rnacentral:rRNA from 1 species
AUUGAACGCUGGCGGCAGGCCUAACACAUGCAAGUCGAGCGGAUGAAGGGAGCUUGCUCCUGGAUUCAGCGGCGGACGGGUGAGUAAUGCCUAGGAAUCUGCCUGGUAGUGGGGGAUAACGUCCGGAAACGGGCGCUAAUACCGCAUACGUCCUGAGGGAGAAAGUGGGGGAUCUUCGGACCUCACGCUAUCAGAUGAGCCUAGGUCGGAUUAGCUAGUUGGUGGGGUAAAGGCCUACCAAGGCGACGAUCCGUAACUGGUCUGAGAGGAUGAUCAGGCACAGUGGAACUGAGAGACGGUGCAGGCGCCUACGGGAGGCAGCAGUGGGGAAUAUUGGACAAUGGGCGAAAGCCUGAGGCAGCCAUGGCGCGUGUGUGAAGAAGGUCUGCGGAUUGGAAAGCACUUUAAGUUGGGAGGAAGGGCAGUAAGUUAAUACCUUGCUGUUUUGAGGUUACCAACAGAAUAAGCACCGGCUAACUUCGUG